UGUAUCUGUCUGUCAUAUUGUGUCCAGAUUGCUUGUCUCUUUCCUGGCAUGGAGCUAGCCUCAGCCACACAAUGGAAAACACGAGCAUGGAGCAUAAAACAGAUCACACUCUUACCACCCAUUUUCCACCACAUUACCGACAGCACAGGGCUGAUGGGAAAUGCUAAUGAACAGCCCUUCUUCUGUGAAUCAUGAGAAGACGAAGCGGCUCCAGUCGUAGUGGUCCAGCAGGGAGAGCAGAGCUCCCCUGAUGGAGGGGCGUAGCUGCAGGGUGAACUGGCCCU